rnacentral:rRNA from 1 species
UUAGGAAAUUUUUCCAAUGGGGGACACCCUGAGAGAGUAACGCCGCGUGGAGGAUGACGGCCUUCGGGUUGUAAACUCCUUUUCUGUGGGACGAGUAGAAGACGGUACCGCAGGAAGAAGCCUCGGCUAACUACGUGCCAGCAGCCGCGGUAAUACGUAGGAGGCGAGCGUUGUCCGGAAUUACUGGGCGUAAAGCGCGCGUAGGCGGCGCGGUACGACCGCUGUGAAAGCCCCCGGCUCAACUGGGGAGGGUCAGUGGUAACGGCCGUGCUGAGAGUGCAGGAGAGGGAAGUGGAACUCCGGGAGUAGCGGUGAAAUGCGUAGAUACCCGGAGGAACACCAGUGGCGAAGGCGGCUUCCUGGUCUGCGACUGACGCUGAGGCGCGAAAGCUAGGGGAGCGAACGG